rnacentral:rRNA from 1 species
AUGGAGAUGAUUCACAAGGGAUCCUUGGACUUGGUGCUGGUCCCUUGUGGGCUUGCGAUCAUGCUCGGCUACCACCUCCUCCUCCUCUACCGCAUCCUUCGCCAUCCGCACACCACGGUCAUCGGCUACGAGAACCACAACAAGCUCGCCUGGGUACAACGCAUGGUGCAGUGCUGGUUCUUCUGGCUGAUAGCCGCGGUUCAUGCCUGCCCGCAGACGACGGCGCCGGAGGAGGCGGCCCUGGCGCUGAGCGUGAUCUCCGACAGCAUCUCGGCGUCCACCACGCUGGCGUCGCUCUGCAUCGCGCUGGGCUCGCUGAUCGGCGCGUGGGUGAGCAGCAACGCCUCGCCCUCGGCGCCGCUCACGGCCGGCGGCGACGGCGGCGCCAGCCAGCCGGCGACGACGGGGAUGGCGUCGGCCAAGUUCACGUCGCUCCUCGUCUGCUUCCUGGCCUCCUUCGCCUGCUUCAUCCAGUCCGCGGGGCACUACGUGCACGCCAGCUUCCUCAUGUCCGCGCUGGGGUUGGACGCGCCGGCGAGCCACGUGCAGCGCGCGGUGAUCCUGGGCGGCAACUUCUGGGCGCUGGGGCUCCGGGCGCUCUACUUCGCCACGGCGCUGCUCAUGUGGGUGUUCGGCCCGGUGGCCAUGCUCGCCUGCUCCGUGCUCACGGUGGCCGUGCUGCACCUGCUCGACACCAGCUCCAUGCCGCUCCACCACCACCAGUUCGUGGACAGAACGAGCGUCGCCGGGGGAGCCAGAGCGGCCAGCGCUCCGAACCCGGGGCUCCAUAGCGCGGUCGCGGUGUUCUCGCCGGCACCGUAUCUCAGGUGA